UGAGGAAUUUUGGACAAUGGGGGAAACCCUGAUCCAGCAACGCCGCGUGAAGGAUGAAGGUCUUCGGAUUGUAAACUUCUUUUAUUUGGGACUAAGAAAUCGGGUGAAAAUCCGAGAGUGAAUGUACCAAGUGAAUAAGCCACGGCUAACUUCGUGCCAGCAGCCGCGGUAAUACGAAGGUGGCAAGCGUUACUCGGAAUUACUAGGCGUAAAGGGCAGGUAGGUGGUUCGAUAAGUCUGCUGUGAAAGCUCCCGGCUUAACUGGGAGAGGCCAGCAGAAACUAUCGGACUUGAGUAUAGGAGAGGUUACUGGAAUUCCCGGUGUAGCGGUGAAAUGCGCAGAGAUCGGGAGGAACACCAAUGGCGAAAGCAGGUAACUGGACUAUUACUGACACUCAGCUGCGAAAGCUAGGGGAGCAAACAGG
rnacentral:rRNA from 1 species